UGUCUAGAUUAAAGGUUAAGGCAACUGA
rnacentral:sRNA from 1 species